AUUGAACGCUGGCGGCAUGCUUUACACAUGCAAGUCGAACGGCAGCACGGGGGCAACCCUGGUGGCGAGUGGCGAACGGGUGAGUAAUGCAUCGGAACGUACCGUGUAAUGGGGGAUAACGUAGCGAAAGUUACGCUAAUACCGCAUAAGCCCUGAGGGGGAAAGUGGGGCCGCAAGGCCUCACGCGAAUGGAGCGGCCGAUGUCAGAUUAGCUAGUGGUGGGGUAAAGGCCCACCAAGGCGACGAUCUGUAGCGGGUCUGAGAGGAUGAUCCGCCACACUGGGACUGAGACACGGCCCAGACUCCUACGGGAGGCAGCAGUGGGGAAUUUUGGACAAU
rnacentral:rRNA from 1 species